rnacentral:rRNA from 1 species
UACAGAGGUCUCAAGCGUUGUUCGGAUUCAUUGGGCGUAAAGGGUGCGUAGGUGGCGAUGUAAGUCUGGUGUGAAAUCUCGGGGCUCAACCCCGAAAUUGCAUUGGAUACUGCGUUGCUUGAGGAUUGUAGAGGAGAGUGGAAUUCACGGUGUAGCAGUGAAAUGCGUAGAUAUCGUGAGGAAGACCAGUUGCGAAGGCGACUCUCUGGGCAAUUCCUGACACUGAGGCACGAAGGCCAGGGGAGCAAACGGG